rnacentral:rRNA from 1 species
AUUGAACGCUGGCGGCAGGCCUAACACAUGCAAGUCGAACGAGUGGCGGACGGGUGAGUAAUAUCUGGGAAACUGCCUGAUGUAGGGGGAUAACUACUGGAAACGGUAGCUAAUACCGCAUACCAUCGGAUGUGCCCAGGUGGGAUUAGCUAGUAGGUGGGGUAAAGGCUCACCUAGGCGACGAGCCCUAGCUGGUCUGAGAGGAUGACCAGCCAUACUGGAACUGAGACACGGUCCAGACUCCUACGUGAGGCAGCAGUGGGGAAUAUUGCACAAUGGGCGCUAGCCUGUUGCAGCCAUGCCGCGUGUAUGAUGAAGGCCUUCGGGUUGUAAAGUACGUUCGGCGGUGAGGCGUUACCCGCAGAAGAAGCACCGGCUAUCUCCGUGCCAGCAGCCGCGGUAAUAC